CCUACGGGAGGCAGCAGUGAGGAAUAUUGGUCAAUGGCCGUAAGGCUGAACCAGCCAAGUCGCGUGAAGGAAGAAGGAUCUAUGGUUUGUAAACUUCUUUUUUAGGGGAAUAAAGGUAUCCACGUGUGGAUCUUUGCAUGUACCCUAUGAAUAAGCAUCGGCUAACUCCGUGCCAGCAGCCGCGGUAAUACGGAGGAUGCGAGCGUUAUCCGGAUUUAUUGGGUUUAAAGGGUGCGUAGGUUGUUUUUUAAGUCAGCGGUGAAAGUUUGUGGCUCAACCAUAAAAUUGCCGUUGAAACUGGAAGACUUGAGUGUGUUUGAGGUAGGCGGAAUGCGUGGUGUAGCGGUGAAAUGCAUAGAUAUCACGCAGAACUCCGAUUGCGAAGGCAGCUUACUAAGCCAUAACUGACACUGAAGCACGAAAGCGUGGGGAUCAAACAGGAUUAGAUACCCCAGUAGUC
rnacentral:rRNA from 1 species